GAUGCUAGUCACGUUGGGGCAGGUGGGUGCGAGUCACGUUGGGGCAGGUGAAUGCUAGUCACGUUGGGGCAGGUGGAUGCGAGUCACGUUGGGGCAGGUGGAUGCGAGUCACGUUGGGGCAGGUGAAUGCUAGUCACGUUGGGGCAGGUGGAUGCUAGUCACGUUGGGGCAGGUGGAUGCGAGUCACGUUGGGGCAGGUGGAUGCGAGUCACGUUGGGGCAGGUGGAUGCUAGUCACGUUGGGGCAGGUGGAUGCUAGUCACGUUGGGGCAGGUGGAUGCUAGUCACGUUGGGGCAGGUGGAUGCUAGUCACGUUGGGGCAGGUGGAUGCUAGUCACGUUGGGGCAGGUGGAUGCGAGUCACGUUGGGGCAGGUGGAUGGGAGUCACGUUGGGGCAGGUGGAUGCUAGUCACGUUGGGGCAGGUGGAUGCUAGUCACGUUGGGGCAGGUGGAUGGGAGUCACGUUGGGGCAGGUGGAUGGGAGUCACGUUGGGGCAGGUGGAUUCGAGUCACGUUGGGGCAGGUGGAUGGGAGUCACGUUGGGGCAGGUGGAUGCUAGUCACGUUGGGGCAGGUGGAUGCUAGUCACGUUGGGGCAGGUGGAUGCUAGUCACGUUGGGGCAGGUGGAUGGGAGUCACGUUGGGGCAGGUGGAUGCUAGUCACGUUGGGGCAGGUGGAUGCUAGUCACGUUGGGGCAGGUGGAUGGGAGUCACGUUGGGGCAGGUGGAUGCUAGUCACGUUGGGGCAGGUGGAUGCUAGUCACGUUGGGGCAGGUGGAUGCUAGUCACGUUGGGGCAGGUGGAUGCUAGUCACGUUGGGGCAGGUGGAUGCUAGUCACGUUGGGGCAGGUGGAUGCUAGUCACGUUGGGGCAGGUGGAUGCUAGUCACGUUGGGGCAGGUGGAUGCUAGUCACGUUGGGGCAGGUGGAUGCGAGUCACAUUGGGGCAGGUGGAUGCUAGUC